rnacentral:rRNA from 1 species
AGUGAACGCUGGUGGUAGGCCUAACACAUGCAAGUCGAACGGCAGCACAGUAAGAGCUUGCUCUUACGGGUGGCGAGUGGCGGACGGGUGAGGAAUACAUCGGAAUCUACUUUUUCGUGGGGGAUAACGUAGGGAAACUUACGCUAAUACCGCAUACGACCUACGGGUGAAAGCAGGGGAUCUUCGGACCUUGCGCGAUUGAAUGAGCCGAUGUCGGAUUAGCUAGUUGGCGGGGUAAAGGCCCACCAAGGCGACGAUCCGUAGCUGGUCUGAGAGGAUGAUCAGCCACACUGGAACUGAGACACGGUCCAGACUCCUACGGGAGGCAGCAGUGGGGAAUAUUGGACAAUGGGCGCAAGCCUGAUCCUGCCAUACCGCGUGGGUGAAGAAGGCCUUCGGGUUGUAAAGCCCUUUUGUUGGGAAAGAAAAGCAGCAGGUUAAUACCCCGCUGUUCUGACGGUACCCAAAGAAUAAGCACCGGCUAACUUCGUG